CUGAAAUCUUUCUAGAGGCUUCCACACAUCAAUAGGAAUCCCUGGGUAAGCCUAAUUUGGUACCCCUCAUUUUUAAGUGCACUUUUUAAAGUACAGUAUUAUGAGAAAUGGCAAAUAACUAGGUCAAUUUUUCCAACUGUAGGGACCAAGGGGAGACCUUUUAACCACCCAACAGGUUCACUUUGCCCAGUGCCUAUUCAAAUUGGUCUCCCCAAGCACUAGGGAAUCAGAGUUUUUAAGGAUAAUUUGGCGGGUAGGGGCUCAGGAUGUGGGGCAUGCCAACUGGUCAGGCUAGCUAGUAAAGGUGGUGGUGUUAUAUAGAUGAAGCUUUGCUUCACAGGCAGCAGCCCUUGGAGAGAAUAGAUGGUAAGAGUCUUUUUCAGACUUUUGGCAAAGAUGCCUUAUGGUGAGGAAUAGAAUGAAGGCAAGAACAGCAAGCAUAGGUGAGACUAUAAAGAGGAUAUCCAUAAAAUGUUAGUGACACUUAUGUUUUG
rnacentral:lncRNA from 1 species